rnacentral:rRNA from 1 species
UACGUAGGGGGCAAGCGUUGUCCGGAAUCAUUGGGCGUAAAGCGCGCGUAGGCGGCCCGGUAAGUCCGUUGUGAAAGUCAAAGGCUCAACCUUUGAACGCCGAUGGAUACUGCCGGGCUAGAGUCCGGAAGAGGCGAGUGGAAUUCCUGGUGUAGCGGUGGAAUGCGCAGAUAUCAGGAGGAACACCGGUGGCGAAGGCGGUUCUCUGGGAAGUGUCCUGACGCUGAGGAGCGAAAGUGUCGGGGAGCGAACAGG